UACGAACUGUGCAAACGUUAUUCGGAUUCACUGGGCUUAAAGGGUGCGUAGGCGGCGCAGAAAGUUGGGUGUGAAAUCCCUCGGCUCAACCGAGGAACUGCGCCCAAAGCUACUGUGCUCGAGGGAGACAGAGGUGAGCGGAACUUAGGGUGGAGCGGUGAAAUGCGUUGAUAUCCUAAGGAACACCGGUGGCGAAAGCGGCUCACUGGGUCUCUUCUGACGCUGAGGCACGAAAGCUAGGGUAGCGAACGGG
rnacentral:rRNA from 1 species